rnacentral:rRNA from 1 species
GCUGUUAAGGGUUCGUAGUUGAAUUGGGGGCUGAAGAGAAACUGUGGCGUCUCCACCAGGGUACUCAACCACUGGAACUCGCAGCCCGAGAACAUUCGAAACAAACAUCACGGGAUCGUUUCUUCCCAAAUUUCGCAUGCAACGUAUGCAGGGGGACGUCCGUGUUUAUUACUGUGACAAAGAAGGGUGACCAAAGCAGUCAUUCGACACGAAUUAAAAAGCAUGGGAUAACAAAGCGCGGCCUACGGGCUUCCAUUACGGCUUUUGUUGGUUUUAAUGGCUUGUGGGAGAUUGUGGGGUCGCAGACCGGUUGCACGGGACUUGUUCCCGACAGCCUUCUGGGUGGUGAAAGCCGUUCGACUUGCCGGCUCCAGGAAUGAAGGAGGGUUGUUCGGGGGAGAACGUACUUGGGCGUGGAGGUGAAAUUCUUAGACCGCUCGAAGACGAACUACAGCGAAGGCAUUCUCCAAGGUACCUUCCUCAAUCAAGAACCAAAGUGUGGAGAUCGAAGAUGAUUAGAUACCAUUGUAGUCC